ACAACAACAACAACAACAGCAACAACAACAACAGGAGCAGAAGGUAAGGUAACAAGGGGAAACACGAUGAUCCAGUUGAGUUUCGAGAGAGAGAGAGAGAGCGGGAGCGAGAAAAAAAGUGAAAUGAGUCUCUCGCUACCAAACCUAAUUAAUGAAGUGGACUUGAUAUACGGAUGCCAAAUGAGCUCCGGAUAAUUAAUACGGGGCCCAAAUUGACAGUUUUUCCGAAUGUGAGUUUCCUACACUUUUGUUUUGUUGGAAAGUACCGGCUAAUGAGAUUCUUGCCUUAAUAAACAGCUUGAUAAUUAGGACAACGGAAUGAGACAAAUUGAGAUAUAGAUAUAGAUAGACACUGAUGGAUAGAUGAAAGAGAUUAAGAAAGAAAAAGAUGGAUAGACAGAGAAGAUAGAUAAGAGAUACAACAGACCGAAAGAUAAAUUGAAGAUAUAGAUAUAGAUAGACAGAUAAACUGAGAUAUGGAUAUAGAUAGACAGACACUGAUGGAUAGAUGAAAGAGAUAAAGGAAGAAAAAGAUGGAUAGACAGAGAAGAUAGAUAAGAGAUUAAACAGACCGAGAGAAAGAUAAAUAUAGAUAGACACAGACAGAUAGAUGAAAGAGAUAAUAAUGAGCGAGAGUAAGUUUAAAGUGAAUGGAAACAGAUAAACACAUAAGAGAUUAGAUAAUGAAAGAUCGAGAGGGAAAGAGAGAGGAGGCAAAUGACAUACGUUUAGAAUGGUGAUAUUAAUAUGAAAAUAAACUAUAGAUUCACAUUAUAGUUUGCGGGGAAAUACUUUUAACCAAUUUAAGGAUCCAUUAAUCUCCUUACUUUCCGGGAGAGGAUAAUAACCAGGAAGCUGAGGGGGGAAGAGGAGAGAAGGAGAGGAAUGGAGAGGGGAUGAAGGAGAGAGAGGGAGAGGGGAGAGAUAAGAGAAGGAGGGAGGAAAGGGAAUGUGGUAAUGAAAAUAGAAGAGGGAUGAGAGGAAGUGAGAGGAGAGGAUGAGAGGAAGCUGUGAUGGGAAAAGGAGAGAAGGAGAGGAAUGGAGAGGGGAUGAAGGAGAGAGAGGGAGAGGGGAGAGAUAAGAGGAGGAGGGAAGAAAGGGAAUAUGGUAAAGAAAAAAGGAGAGGGAUGACAGGAAAUGAGAGGAGAGGAGGAGAGGAGGAAAGAGAGGGAGAUGGGAUGAAGGAGUCAAGGAAAGGAGAGAGAGAGGGGAUAUUUAAGAGGUGGGAGGAGAGGGAAUAGAGUAGUGAAGAUAAGGAGAGAUGUGGGUGAGACAAAGGAGGAAGUGGGAGGAGAGGAGAUAGGGUAAUGAAGAAAAAAAGAUACAGAGGAGAGAGAAGAAUUAUUAACCCGGUAGCUGCGUGGAUCAUGUUUCUUAAAGGCCCCUCUAAGCGAAUUAAUGAGAAAAAAUCAUCGCUCUCGCACACCACUUCAUAAUAUAUAUCAACGCAUUUGUGAUCAGUCUAUGCAUCAUCUAUUUUUGGGGUUUAUAUCAUGGCAAAAAUGUGGCCCGUCGCUGGUACACGGUAAAGCCACAAAUUUGGCCCGUCGCUGCUACCAGGUUAAGAAGAUAGAGGAAGUUAGUUUAAAGAAAGAGAAAGAGGAGGAAAAAGAGAAUGUAAAGAAUAUACGACCAUAGAACAAAAACAAUAACGAGUAAAAAGAAAAUUGCAAUAAACCCAAAACCAGCCAAUACACACACACACACACACACACACACACACACACACACACACACACACACACACACACACACACACACAGAAAA